GACGUAGGCAGCGAGCGUUGUUCGGAGUUACUGGGCGUAAAGGGUGUGUAGGCGGUUGUUUUAAGUUUGGUGUGAAAUCUCCCGGCUCAACUGGGAGGGUGCGCCGAAUACUGAAUGACUUGGAGUGCGGGAGAGGUGAGUGGAAUUCCUGGUGUAGCAGUGAAAUGCGUAGAUAUCAGGAGGAAUACCGAUGGCGAAGGCAGGUCUCUGGGCUGACACUGACGUCAUGCACGAAAGCGUGGGGAGCAAACAGG
rnacentral:rRNA from 1 species